CUGAAUUCAGUACCAAAUUGCAGCUACCUAUGGAGAAAUAUGCAUUGGAGUUCAAAGUGCUGCCCAAUCAUCUCAAAAAUGCAAACAUAAGGGCCAGAAGCACACCUCACCUGAAAGAAGAGAAGCUAAUCAUAUUACUUCAUGAGUACAUGAAAGAAAUAGGAUGGGUGAUGACCAAAUCAAAAGGCGUGCUACACUUUAUACUUAAU
rnacentral:lncRNA from 1 species